UGGGGGAAGAUGCAGGGUCUAGUCUCAGGUCCGGCGAGCCGGUACUCAUGCAUGAUCCAGUCGGUCUUGGUCCCCGUCGGGGGCUUUCCCCGGUAGAAGACCAAAACCUUCCUCAUCCCGACGACCACCUGGCUGCACCAGGAAGACGUGAUUUGCUUGUCCUUCCCUGUGGCCUUCCAGUACCCGGACCUCGCCGCCCGGUUCGACCGGCUACCCCUGGGGUACUUCGCCUCCCUCAGAUUGAAGAAGUACCUCUCCUCCUCGCACCCACCUGAGCACCGCGAGGACAAGGCUUCAGUCACCGCUACAGGUACAGUAAGGAUCGCUAUAGGACGCACCUGGUAAGUCCCACGGAUCGAGUCUUGCGAGAUUGAUCUCAGGGAUGAUGGCGGCAGGCAAUGGGCAGGAGAAGGCCUUCCUCUUAAGGUACUGAACCACCAGCUCCUCGUCGGUGGGGUGGAACCUGAACCCAGGUGGGAGCCUCAGCACUCCAUGCCUCGCAACAGCACUCGGCUUCCUGUCCAUCUGCAACUCGAACCAGGAAACAGAGGAAAGAAACUACUGCACCCAGCAGCAACACCAACGACAGCGAGGUCUCUCUUUGUCGAGCUUAAGGUCGAUUCAUGCUUUUUCUAAGUCCGGUUAGCGGAAAGAAGGUGCAGGGAGCAAGUGGACAAGGAGGUGGAGAGGGCGAGAGCGUGGGUGGGGGUGGGGAUGUGGGUGAGGGAGUGGUGGUGGUGGUGGUGGGCUUUAUAGGAGAGGUUGCGGCCGCAAGGCGACGNNNNNNNNNNNNNNNNNNNNNNNNNNNNNNNNNNNNNNNNNNNNNNNNNNNNNNNNNNNNNNNNNNNNNNNNNNNNNNNNNNNNNNNNNNNNNNNNNNNNNNNNNNNNNNNNNNNNNNNNNNNNNNNNNNNNNNNNNNNNNNNNNNNNNNNNNNNNNNNNNNNNNNNNNNNNNNNNNNNNNNNNNNNNNNNNNNNNNNNNNNNNNNNNNNNNNNNNNNNNNNNNNNNNNNNNNNNNNNNNNNNNNNNNNNNNNNNNNNNNNNNNNNNNNNNNNNNNNNNNNNNNNNNNNNNNNNNNNNNNNNNNNNNNNNNNNNNNNNNNNNNNNNNNUUCUCUCUCUCUCUCUCUCUCUCUAUAUAUAUAUAUAUAUAUAUAUGUAUGUAUGUAUAUAUAUAUAUAUAUGUAUGUAUGUAUAUAUAUAUAUAUAUGUAGGAAGACAAAAAGAAUCAUUGAUUAAAAUGGAACUGGAGAAUGCUUUCUUUAAUUAGAAGAAGUCAAAUUGAAUAGACCAAUGUAUAAAGAACUUUUUUCUUUUUAAUUAGAGUAAAAUAUUGAAAAAAAUAUUUGAUGUAAAUUAGCACAUCAAAUCAGACUAAUGUUUCACAUCGAAAUAACAAAAAAAAAAGGAAAAGGGUGUGUUUUCUUUUUCUUCUUUUACGAGCUGUCAUUGACCAAAUUACCCUCACCAAGUUUCAUACUUUUAGGUGAGAUUUCGCGAUGACUGAAAGGGCAAUGUAGUCAUUUCAUGAUUACGUCAGUCUUACGACGACUCCUUCUGGCCUGUGAGAUAAAACCUUUGUAUUUUUCUGUUAUGACGAAACCAUCCUCGGGCCAUAAGAUCCAAUCGCGCCCGUCCAUCUUCCGUGAUCAGACAUCCCCGCGCAUCACAAAGCGUAGUUAUAUGCAGCUUCGAGAGGGCAUAAAUGGUGAUUCGGAUACGCAUUGGCCACGGACUAGUGGACCUACUUGCUUCCGAAACCGCAGACAACAGGGGCAAAAUGACAAAUUUGCCACUACCGUGGAAAUGACGCUAACCCAACCACAUAUCUAAUACCACAGUGGAAGAAAGGGCAUUAACUUCCACCAGAAAUCGACAUGAUCAAAGGGGAAAAGCUGUGGCAGCGCAAGGCAACGACAUGCGUGUGUGGAGGAAACUGCGGCAUUGACAUCGCAUGGCCUCAGCUGCUGCCGUAGGGGGAAGGCAAUCCCGUUCAUUUGCCAAGAGAGAGACGAAGGGGGGGAAAGGGAGAGAUGUCAUGUCCCACUUGCAAUGUGGAGAUACGGGAAGAACAAGUGCGCUCGAGGUGUGCUAUCUACAGCCAACAUGCGGCCGUGUAAAACACGAGUGUAGCUACUGAUGUUUUCUUCUCAUUAGACAAUUCACAACUUGUUAUUAUUAUUAUUUCUGGUCAAGGGGGUUUGCGUGCAGGGAUCGAAGAGGGGCCGAGGAGGAAGAAGAACAGAGGACGUCAACGAGGUACAAAUCCGUUUUUAUGCGUUCUCUUGCUUGCCUUGCCCUUGCUUUGUUUAUUUCAAUUGAUAGAGCCGGAGAAGCUCAUACAUUGAGGGGAGAAUUGGGUAGAGCAUUGCACAUGGUGGGACGAGGGGCAGCAAGUAACAUAGGGCAUGGGGUCAUAGGGCUUCACAGAUAAGCAUUUCUGCUUCAGAAUUAUCUGUUUGUUCUUGUUUCUUGUACUUAACAACAAACAAGUACCUAAUGGGUCCUUUUUUUUUCCCACUGAAGCAAGCAAGUGAAAUCAACCCUAUUGGGCAUUUCUUGUGUUCCACGGAGUCAAAAUUUGGACCUAGCAUCUGCUGUCCCAUAAGGAAUUUAGGGCUAGCUUACCUACCUACAUGGCUACAUGAACAUAUGAAUAGGUUGGCUUGUUUCAUCAUCUUACAUAGAGAAGCAUCACAAUUUUCGAUAGGGAUCGAAGCAUGUCCAAGUCUUAAAGUGGAACAUCUGCUGGGACUUGAGUACAACUUGAUUACAGAGGAGACAUGCUUAAUGCAUAGAUAGAUAUCAGGAUCAGGUGUCAUGAUAAGUUAAGGUCCUACCCCUCUGCAACCUCACAAUUCACCAUCCACAAGGCAUCUACAGUUGAAUGAGUCAGCAAGCAGCAAGCAUGUAGUUGAAUCAACCAAAGUGAUGUGGCCAUUAGUUGAAUCAGCCAAGCAAUCUGAGAUAGCAGAUCUGCCAUUGUCGGAAAAGGGUGAUACUCUCGUGAUCAAUUGGUGACUGUUAUGCUACCUAAAGUCUUAGUCAUUUUAUGGUUCUCAGUCUCUGCUUCAAUGGCUCUCACUUUCUUGAUUACUCCUUUGGGGAAGCAUCUAACGUCACAGUCCCACUAGUGGGUAUCAGAGAAGAAUUGGAAGAGUGGAAUUGUGAUUUCUGUGUGUUCAUGUGUUUGUGAUGUUGGAUGUCGGAGUUAUCCUUGAGUCUCUUCCUUGGAAGGAACACAUAUCAAAAUGCCUUUCUUUGCGAUAAAAGACAAACAUAAAAUUGGAAUUAUAAGGGAAGACAGAAUUCAUGAUGGUGACUGGCAUUGCAGAUUAUGCGACAUGUUUCUCAUGUCUCUCCUCCUCCCAAGUUUGACUAACUGCUUCCACAAAUGACAUCAUUCCCCUAUACUUUUGUGAUAAUUAGCCUUGGUUGCAUGACUUUUAGGAGGAUAAGUUUCAUUGAACAAGGUGAGAAAUAGUUUUAGGAAUGCAUGAAUCUUCAGAAAAAUAUGAAACUUGAUUAAAAUUUACUGUAGUGCUUCUCGGUUUUCUUUAGUGUUCCGUGUUGGGCAACACUAGCACAUGUCUUGGCUCAUAAAGAAAAGGAACUCUAAGAGAAUCAUGAUUCUAUAUUUGAAAUAACUUUAAUUGGAAACAGAGAUGGAUUUUUGGGAUAACUAUAGUGUGCAUUUCUGUGUUACCCAUCAAAGUGUGUUGAUAUUUUUUUCUUGAUCUUUGAUUGAUUUCAUAACAAAAAUCAAGGAUUGGUAGCGCCACAGAUCAGAACUAAGAUUUUUCAGUGACAAGUAACACUAACAUUAUUCGAUUUCUUGGUUUGCCUGUGAGCCUAAGUUUUUUUUUUUGUAUUGGAAUUUAAAUCAUGCACUGUUAGUCUAAAAAAUCUAAAUAAAAAUCCAAACCUUCUUUAUCUUUAUACAGCUGAAAGUGAACAGCAGCCAGUUAGGUAUUCAAAACUCUUUUUGACAUGAAUGAUAGACUUGCCAAAACAAAUAAGAGGAAUUACAAAUAUCUUGAAUUGAUUGAACUUUGAUGACUAGAUUGUACAAUAUUUUGGUAAAAUACAGAAAAAGUAAUUGAGAAAAAAAACAACAUUCUUUAUUUGUAAACGGCAGCCGAAUCUGUGAACAGUUUUUUUUUUUUUUUUAAAUUAAGCAGGCUACAUAUUAGGACAAACUGUUUCGAACAAUUUAUACUUAAGAAUUUUUUUUUUCCCUUCCACAUCUAUUAGAAUUUGCAGUAUUGCAUUAGGAGCCUUUAUCACCUUGCACUCAAAAAUUGUGAAUUGGCAUUAUCACAAAAUUUCAUGGCCAUUGAAAUAAUAUUGUUCAUUUAACCUGCCUCAGCUAAUUUUUUUGCUGCUAUGUUUGAGCUAUUAUGCCUGUCACAAAAUGAGAAGUGACUCAGUAAUCUUAAUUAUCAUGAUGUUUCAUUCUACAUAUGUGUACUUUGUCAUUGCAAGCUCUCUCCUAAGUCACUUUCAUCUUCUUUUGCCCAAUCUUGCAAAGUAAUUUCCCUUAAAACCAUUGACCAAAUGUGGAUCCAACCUUCAAAGAGACUGGGGAGAUGACAUAGUUUACAGCAAAGGUAAAGGAGAUAUCUCAAGUCUUCCCACUAAGAACUUGGUGUGCAAAAGCUUCUUGUGCUUGCUUGUUUGACAAAACAAGGCAUUUCUUAUAACUAAAUGAAGCUCACAAUGCAACUUGGGUCAAUGCUUCUGGAUUUACUACCACCCUGUCCCCAUGAUCUAAGCAGCACAUGCAUACAAGCAUAAAGGUUCCUUGCUCAGGAGGAUGAGCAACAGUUGUGAGCUAUAAUGUGAUGGAUCUCAUCAACCUGUCAAUUUCUCUUAGGGAAAGAUAAUAACAGUUGAUGAAUUAUUCUUUGCAGAAGAAAACAAUCUGCUAUUUGUGUGGCUCUUGCAGUGACAGAACUUGGGCCAUCAAUCCAUGUCAAAUAAUAACUUGUUUGGAUAUGAGUGACUUGACCAAGAUAAAUAACAGAUAGAACAACAAAAGCUUCAAUCAGUGGGUUUGGACCAGAAACUUGGAAGGUCACAAGAACUAUGAACUGAAUUUAAGGGCAAAUUCUACUUGACCCAAAUGUGCACAAGAAAUUUUGAUGGACUAAUUACAUAUUAAUUAUGUCAUCUUUAGUUUUUCGAUUUUUAUAUUUUAAAAAAUUAUAUUAACAUCCUUAUAGUUAUAAAUAUAAAAUAUUUAUAUUUAUUUAUCUUAAUAAUAUUAGUUUUAUUAAUAAAAAUAAAAGAAUAAAAAGAUAAAUUUAAUGUUCCAAUAUUACGAAUCCAACAUCGAUCUCGUUGUAGCUGUCUCCCUCAACCUCGUCUCCCCACUACCACCCAGCACGUCACCUCCUCUCCCUGCUGUUGCCCAGUGCACCGCCUCUUCUCUCCCUCGUGGUUAGUCGUCGCCGGUUGUUAAGGUGGUCUUAAGGUCUCAAAGUUUAGUCCGGCCCGGCCCGGUUCUUCGAGGCCUUCAAAAAAGCCUCAUCGACCGGUCUCCUCCAUGCUUUCUUCGUCGCCAAGCUCUCCAUGGCCCGAUGUCCUCGGAGGCCGUGACCCUCCAAGCGGUCACGCCACCGCCCGUUCCCGGACGACCUCCGCCUCCCCCGGCUGCUCGUCAAGGUUGUCUUGCUCCGCAUCAACUGCUUUACUCAGUGUCUUGAGCUUUAUUCUGUUUAGGGUUCUCGUGGACAAGGAAAGCUGCUCGAUCACCACCCGAAAGAAUCCUACGAAGUCGGAUGGAUCAAUAGAGGUAUGGUUACUCCACGAAGUCGAUGGGGGAAUCGAGCGGCCUCGUUGAAGGAGCGGAGCGAGUUCUCCUUCACCUCCCUCAGCCGUGGGUCCGUCUAAGCCAGCGCGUUCAUCCCCUUCCCACGGUGCCCGAUCACCACCAGACUCUCCGCCUUAUUCUCCCACUCCGCCCCCAUUCAUCCCAUUGACGUUCCAACUUCCAAGUGACAGGGCGAGUGAGGGAGACGAGUGGGAUCAACAUUUGUGGAGGCGGAAGGACGCGGAGGAGGAGAGGGCGACGGCGGCGGCUCCGGUGGCUGGUCCAGCGUAACGUCGUCGAUAUGCACGGCCUUGAGCGCCAUGGAAUCUGAUGUAAGGAGGGAAAGGUCGUCCCAGGCGAUGGCAUUUAAAAGACGAGGAGAGAACGGUGGCCGAGCAUUUGCUGCGGUGUUCGGUAUUCAUGAGAUCAUGUGCGCGUCAAACUAACAAACAAAAUACGAUAUCUGUUAUCAUCUUAAAUACUUAAUUUCACUUAUUAAUUAUUUUUUUGCAAUAAGUUUUAAUUUCAGACGGGGAUUCCAAUCACAAAUCAAGAACAAAAGAACGGUGGAGGCUGUGGUAUCCAAUAUGAACACCCCAAGACAUUAUUACAUCGGCUAAUCCACCCUUCAUGUGGCGCCACCAUAUCAAAUCCUGUCCGUCCCAGCACAGAUCCCAUCAUCCCAGCCGUCCCUUCACCUACUAUUGUGCCUGAGCCCCUUACGCCCCUUACCCUUGUGGCCUUCUCGCUCGGUGGCAAACAAGCAUCCCGCACCGAGCGUGACCAAGAGACAUGGCGGAGGCCAACAACAACAGCAACAACAAUGCCAAUUCCAUAGCGCAGCAGCAGCAACAGCAGCAGCAUCAUCAACAACAUCAGCAACAGCUCCUUUUGCAGCAGCACCAGCAACAGCUCUUCCUGAUGCAGCAGCAGCAACUCCAGCUCCAACAACAGCAACAACUGCAACGGCAACAACAGCAGCAGCAGCAACAGCAGCAGCAGCAAUCGCAGCCAUCUGCCCACCACCAAUCGCCUUAUAAUCUCCUGCAGCAGCAGCAGGCCAUGUCCCGCUUCCCCUCCAACAUCGACGCCCACCUCCGCGCCCCCGGCCUCCGAUCCCUCCAGUUCCAGGCCCCUACUCCUCCGCCGGCGCAGCCCUCCUCCUCACAGCCGCCUACCUCCUCCAACCUCCACCACCAUGCUUCGCAGUCCCAGCCGGCGAGGCCAGCGGCGACAGGGGUCGGGGUCGGCGUCGGGAGGCCCGGGAACCCCUUGGAGAUUGAGAUGGCGCAGAAGGACGCCUUGAUGGUCUGCAACCCCGACUUCAAACGCCCCUUCGCCUCCGUUGAGGAUGCCGUGCUCAGGUAUGCCCCCUUUCUAGGGUUUCGUUUCUUUUCCUUCUUCUGUUGGAUCUUAGAUCUGUAGCUCCCUUGCGAUCUUAGGGUUUCGUUGCCUGUUCGCCUUUUUCUUCUAAAAGGAGGAUUUUGGAGUUUGAUGUUGGUAGAGGAAAUAAUUACGGUUUAUAGCUAGGUUUUAAAAGGGUUGGGGAAAUUAGGAUCUACAGAUCGAUAUAACGGAGGAAUAGGUGGGGCAUCUGCAGAGAGUGUUGGUCGCUCUACUGGAACUCAACAUCUGUCUCCUGAAUUUUGCUUAAUUAGCAGCAAUAUUUGCAUCUUGUUUACUGAGAGGUAGCCAGAUCGGGAGGUAACAAUCAAGCCAGACUGCAAGAAGUAGGCAUUUCUCUAAAUUCCAGGAAAGCAGCUAUUUUUCUUGUUCUAACCAACGAUGACAAUCUUUUGUACCACAAGGAAGCUAGUGGCAUCUUUAUGGCCAAUUUAGUAAGAAAUUAUGGAUUAGACACAGCCGGCCAAGCUAGGGUGAUAAACUGAUCCAGAUUAUAGGGAAUCCUUUAUGUUCUAGUCAAGCUACUUUUGUCGUAGAAAUCAUGUCCUUUCUUGUUGGUUAUGAUGUAAAUCUUGGGGUUUGGGUUCAGAUUGUUUAUCCAACAUCCUCAGUGUUGCCUAGGAAAUUAAUAGAUUGCUCAAACACCAUGGUAUUUUUUUUAGAUAAUACGAGUGCCUGGCAUGGAUACUACAUUAAGAUGAUCUUUCAUGCAAAACAUCUCUUGUUAUGAUGUAAAUUUUGGGGUUUGGGUUCAGCUUGUUUAUCCAACAUCCUCAGCGUUGCCUAGGAAAUUAAUAGAUUGCUCGAACACCAUGGUAUUUUUUUUAGAUAAUAUGAGUGUCGGGCAUGGUUACUACAUUAAGAUGAUCUUUCAUGCAAAACAUCUCUUGACAGUGAGCUUCAUCAUGUUAAUCUUCUUUAACCUUUAUAGUUAUCUUUGACAUUAAAGAAUACCUUCAGGGUUUAUCUUGCUGCUUCAUUUCUGAAAUUUAAUCUUUCUGGUAUCUUCUUUGAACAAGUAUCUCCAUAGUACCACUGUCAAGUGUUGAGUGUUAAGUUCCACAUUUGUCAACUUUGUGCAAGAUUAAAUUUAGUGUCUGUAUACAAAUUGCUUAUUAAUUGAGACAAUACGAUAGGGAGGUUUGAUUGGAUGAUGAGGAAUUACGGGAUUCACUUGCUUUCUUACUUUUUGUCGUUAGAACAAAAAGAAGGAAAAAACUUUCUUACUUUCAUUAUUGGAACCGUAACAAAUGAAAUAUUGGUUAAGAAAGCAAAUAACAAUUUUUUUUUGGUAAAGCAAGCAGGCUGCAUUAUAAUAUCUAAAUGUUUGGUUGUUUGGUUAAGUUUUUAUAGUCUACAUGUUUGAUCAAAAGCAAUCUAGUGUGCCUCUUCCAUUCCCUAUCUCUUUUUUUCUUGUUGCUUAACUCCUUUAUCACAUGUUUGUUGAGAGUUUGACAUUAUCCAAAAAUAUGGAGAGACCAUGGCUAAGUUAUUUGCAUGGAUAACUGGCCACCAAAAUGACUUCUACUGUCAGUGUUCUGUAGUAUUCCAAUAAUUACUUCUUCAGUUACUGAAAAUGAUUAUGUACUAACACAAUUUUAAGUGUUUGAGAUUAAGUAGGUAUGUGAACCCAAGGUAUUCUGUAGGCAUUUAGUUGGGCAUCUAGAUCUAGGUUGUUCUCCCCAGACUAUACUGCAUGUUAACAACUAGAAAUUUUGCUUUGUAAAUGAGUGCAAAUGGUUCACAUAUAUACCUUCACCUCAAGCUAUGUAUAUUUCGGAAAAAAAAAGGGUCUUUCUCAUUAAGUCCAAUGAUGAUGCCAUUCUUCACUGAGAUAUAUACAUGAUUUCAUGAGAAGAAACCUUUGUAAGAGACAAAGGGCACAAGGUUUAAUAUGUAAUUGGUCCAUAGUUUAAACUGCUAAGUAGAAAUAUUUGGGAUAUUGGAAGAUAUUAAGGCAAGAUUAGAUGUUGUUUCAGUAAUUUAAUACGGCUGAUCCAUUUCUUGCAGCUUUCUCCAGCAUCACUAUCUGGGAAGCUUUACACUUUUGUUGUGUACUUAAGGAUUACUUGGUGUUUAUAAUACUGUUGGAAGUAUUUAUACUUGCAUGUGGAUUAUAUUGUUUUAACUUUAUUAGUUUUUCAUUUUUAUAAUACUUGUCAUAUACUAUUUUUAUAUAGUGACUUGUAGCAUUCUGUUGAGGAAACCACAAGACUAGAUAAAUUGGAAUUCUCAUUAUGUAAAAGGUGUUUUUAUUGAUCUUUACCAUGAUCAAGUCUUUGACAGAUCAGAUUACUGUCUUGCACUGAAGUCUUCUGUAUGACUGGUUUAUGUUGCUCUAAGACCUGAGAUUGAGAAAACAGUAAAUUAAUAACUUUGCAUAGCUUCUAAGGUGUUCAUUGCACUUGCAUUCUACUUACAUCUGUCACUUCUUCUAUUUUUUUUUCUUUUUUGAGAAUAGUUUUUGCUGCUGAGCUUUUUAUUGUUGUGGACCAUUUCAUCGACUACUAGCAUAUGGCUUAUUAUGUGGAAACUGCAUGACUUUGGACCGAUUGAUUUUGCAGUCCAGAAAUAGGACUCAUUUGAUCGUUUGCUUCUGACUUUUUAGGCUGCUGCCAUACCAUGUGGUAUCUGAUUAUGAAGCUGAAGAAGAUGACAGGAUCCUUGAUAGUGAUACCACUGGUCAUAUAUUUUCACGGAUCCAGCAAUGGGACCACAACGUUCUCACAAAGAUUGCAGAGUUUACCACUACAUUUGAGAAACAAGUCCUUGCUUUCAACAUAAUGUCAAGAAAGAGAGCACAAGGAGAAUUCAGGUCAGAGGAGAGGCUUAUGAUGGAGCAGUUUUUAAUGCAAGAAGAGAAGCAAGCUCUGUUAGGAAUAAGAGCAGAAAUCGAAUCCAGAGAGAAGGCUGGUAGGGAAGCAGCAGAGGCCAAGAUGCGGAUGGCAAUGGUUCAGGCUGAACAUGCUAGAGCAGAUGCCCAGGCCCAUGCAGAAAUGUAUGUUCGUGCCCCAGUGAGGGCUGGCGCUGCUGGUUCCCUUGGUGACGAGGUUUCUGGCCAUGAUAUGGGGCAAGAACAGGCAGGUAACAUGGACGAAAUUCAUGGGUGGGGAAAUGCUCAAAGAGAGGAUGAAGAGCCAUCAGAGGAUUUUUUGAAUGAUGAGAAUGAACCUGAGAAUGGAGACACCGGAGAACAAGGUGAAUGGCGAGAAGCUGGGGAGCUGGACUUGAACACUAGGUGAUGAUAGGAUAAAAUCCUGGCUACUUUCCAGUUUGCAUUUAGUAGCUUAUGCACAGAGGGUUACAAAGUCGCUAACUUGACAUGAUCAGAUCUGUUUGUUUAUGGAGUUCUUAGACUACGUUUGUGAAAAGAAAGAUUACCUCUUCCCAAGCAAGAGUGUGGCUCGACUGCUGGAUCUGAUUCGAUUUCAUUUCGAGCAGCUGUUUUUAUCUUGGAGAUAGUUUUCCGGCAGCACGACCAGAAAGUUAACAAGGUCAUACCUUUUAACUGCUUUUGUGCUAUGAUCAAACGCUGUGCUGCUGAAACUGAACUCAUUUUACUUUCUAGAUAUUACUGGUAGGAAAUAGUUGAAACGAUAUCAGUGAAAAAUUGUCAUCGGUGUAGACGGACCGAUUGCUGAUUACUUAUCUAAGUUAUAUGUUUAUUCUCGGCACCCAACUUGGGGAUUUCUAGUUGCUCUGUGUCUGUACAUUAUGAAGUAUUAGUUCUACGGAGAACUUAGUGUUUCUUUCAUAUCUCGUACUUGAAGCAGAAAUAGAAGUCUUCAUCAACACAACGCAGCGCAUGUCCGCAAGCGUUCAAGCUUCGGCCGGCCUUUUGAGUUCAGAAGGACCUCAUUGACGAGAGCUUUCUUCCGCGCAGAGCCUUUCAAUGUAUAUUUCAUGCUUUUCUUGGUGGGUGUGAAUGUCAUAUUCUGUUUCUACCUUUUUGUAUUAUUAUUAUUUUAUCAUAGUUAUGAAACCCAAAUCAAACUGUCUUAUCGGAUCGAAGAAAAAUCAUCUUUUCAUUAUAUUAUAAAAUUAAUUUUAUCAAAUAUUAUAUAAUUAUAAUUGUUUUAAUAUUGAAUAUAUCAGUUUACUAAUUGAUCUAACAGAUUCUUGAUUCCGUUACGAUAAAUCUCUUUUGUGUUGGGUUGGGCUUCUUUUAAUGGGCCAUCACUCGAGUUUCAUUUCAUGGGUGGGGAUUAGGUCUUCCGUUAUGCCCUCAUAGUUUGCCGAGGGUUUUGUGUCGAUGUAUAUAAAAUGCAAGGAAACCCUUUAUAGCGAAGAGGACGUGCUCAUUCAUCUCCAUCGGCUUCACUCUGUCUCUGUUAAUGGCGGCUUCCCUCCCAUUCCUCGUAAGCGCUCUCUCCCACACCCCAGUUCUUCUUCCUCCUUCGUGUGUUACUAAGUGUUCUCUUUUUCUUUUAUCUUCUACUUCGCAGGCGAGCGUCCGUCCGGCGAUCGUCGCUGGGUCGAGGUCCUUAGGACGGACGCCUCUGUUGAGCCCGUACCGAGCCUUUCUCGAUUCCCGGAAAUUCUCGUCCGCCGCCGCUCUCUCCUGCCCCGCUGGCUUGUUCCCCUCUCCCUCCUCGCGGUCCACCGCCCGCUUCUCCACCUCCCCUCGUGCCGAACUGAAGGUCCGCCAAUCGAUAUCAGGGCUUUUGUUCUUCUUUCUCUUUGUUCCAGCUGGAAUUGGGCUUUUUCUUCGAGCUUCCUGCAACCUUGCAUUGCAGUCGAUGCGCCCCAAUUUGGUUCCAUGCUAUAAUCACAAGUCACGGUUGAGUUUAAUUGGACUGGGAUUGAGGUCAUAGGGGUAUUGGCUUAUAUUGCACUAAACGGAAUGGGUUCUUGAUUGGAAUUAUUUUGAUUUCAUGACGGCGGUGUUUCGGCAUCGUUGGAUUUCGUUUGCAGGUUUCUGACUUGCAGUCGACGGUUACCACCAAAGUGUUCUUUGAUAUUAGCAUUGGGGGUCAUGUUGGACGUAUCGUGAUAGGUCUCUAUGGGGAUGAUGUGCCCCAGACGGCAGAGAACUUCCGUGCUUUAUGUACAGGUAAAUCACUUGUACCUUCUGUUCAUAGUUCUUUCUACAAUGGACCAAAAUUUCCUUGCAUUUUCUUAUAGCAUUAUGUUUCCAUCAGGCGAGAAGGGCUUUGGGUACAAGGGAUCUGCAUUUCAUCGUGUCAUCAAGGAUUUCAUGAUUCAAGGGGGAGACUUCGAUCAGGGAAAUGUAUGUGCUUCUGUACCUUCUACCAUGACUUUUAUGUGAAGUUCUCUUUUGACACAUGAUAGCUCUAGGAUGUUAUUGUUGUUUAGGCAUUGACAUUUCAGGAAAAUGGUACUAGAUUAGGUUUCUUUGAUGCAUUGAUAAGACGGCUGUGCAUAAAUUUAAUAAUGGUAAGGUCCAUAAGGGACAACUAGUAAAUUUUGAAUUUAAUUAUUCUAGUCUAUAAUUGCUAUCUUGGUUCCAUUGGUCAGAUUCAACGAUGAGGAUCAAAACAUUUGUCACUUGUAGAAGUAAAAAUUAGCAAACAAGUCAGUUCAGAUGUAUGUUAUUCAAGACCAGUUAAAUGGGGUCCAAUUUUAUCUAUUUUCAUUUAGAAGUACAAAGUCUAAAAAUAUAGAUGUUAUUCAAAUCUAAUUUUCAUUCAAAAAUAAGUUAAUUUAAAAUAUACAAGGUGAAGAUUAUCAGCUUUUAGGGUGUGGAGAGGACCUAAAGAUAUUUAGCCCAAUCCUACAAUGCAUUUUUGCGGUCGAAUAAGGGAUUAAGAAGCUACAUUCAGGUGCUGAAGAGGAUCAAGAAGAUAAUUUUAUUUGAUCCUACAUCAGCACUUCUCCGAAUGGAUAUCUCAAGCAAACAAACAUUUUAUCUAUUUCUUGAUCUUAGAUGAUGUUCGACAAGAUCUUUCAACGUUUGAAGGUAAAGUACUGACAUAGUGUUGGUGAUCUUCUUCUGUAUGUUGAUUCGGAAAUCCUCAUAAACAUGUGAAUGUUACUUUGAUGAACAUAUAGAAGAUUCUCCAAAUAAAAAUCCAUUUGUUGGUACUCAGUCAUGAAAAAUUACUAGCUUAACGGUUACUGCAAGCCAACCAUAUGCUUAGAUAAUCAUGGUAGUAGUCAUGCUGAUUGAUGAUGCGGUCAUCUUAGUCGAGACACCAAUUGGCCUGUAUGUGGACUGUAAAUAUCAAGUUCAUUCUGGGUAUAGCUUUUUGUUGAUUUACGGGUAGCUUGGGAUGAUUUCACUUGGCCUUUGGUCAUGGAUUAGGAGACUGGGGAGAACCAAUUCAUUGGCUUUCGUGUUCCCUCCAUAAACUUUAUUUUCUGAGGCCUUUUGAUGGAAACUGGAACAAUCUUUGGAUUUGAUUACCUAAACAGAGCUCACUGGAGGAGGAAUAUGCUCUAAUCAAUACUUUUAUAUCCUUUGUCAACGAGAACAAGCAUAAAGUUACUAUUUAGUGGAUCGUCAUUCUGUGGUUAGUUAUCCUGGUUGCUUCAUAUUUGAAAUUUUGAUUCUUGAGAAGCUGAAUAACAUGAUGAUAGAAACCUCCCUUAACAAUUAACAGUUCCUUGUAUGACUUAAUUGGUUUGCAGUAUUUAUUUUUAUCACCUAGUUGCUUCCACGAUGUGAUUGUGAUAAGAAUCAUCAGGAGACAUGUGGUUGGAAAAUGCAUUUUGUAGUUGGGGAAUUUGUACAUUUUAAAUUUGCUUCCUGGUGUUCAUUUUCAGUUUCAAAGAACUUAGUUGGCGUUUUUAUACGAAUUCAGAGAAAUCUUUGAUGAAGAUUGAAAUCAGAUAAAUAAUUUCACUGUAUGUUUAUAUAAAAAAAGCCAUAUUAUUUGUUUGAUAAGGGAAAGCUUAACUAAACACGUGAAAAAUCUUGUUUGUUUCUCAUGGACUACUAAGUUUCCUUCACUUUAACAUGCAAAAGAGAGAUCGACAAGCGAAGUAAGUUGGAAACGAACAAAAGAAUAGGGGUAGAGUUGCAUUAUAAUCAGUCCUCUUGAUGUGAUAAGGAAGAAGAGGGAAGAAAGGGGGGAAGGAUGGGGCGAAAUGAAUUUUGGCUAAUUAAUGAAUGACAGUUGCUUAUUUUCUUGUAUGUUUUGACUAGUUCCUACUUGCUUGAAUGAUCAUCUUAGAUUGAAUUUACAGUGGAGCUUUUUCUCUCUCUCUUUUUUUUGGAGAUUUCUUAUUAUGCUUUAUUCAUUAAGAACAUUAGAAUUCAGCCUAGAAUGAAUUUAUUAUCAAACAUUAGAUGGGUUUCCUUGCUCUGUGUUCAACAGAUUAUCUCGUGUUGUGCUUAGUUGUUAUUUGGGAUCUGUCUUCCAUCUUAUGCAUUUUGAGUUGAUUUAGUUCCCUGGAAACUACAAGUUAGUGUAAUCUGUUUGUUCAAUUACAUAGCUGCAUAAUUGAUUUAUUUUUCUUCCCAUGUUGCUCUGGUAUAAAGCUAAAGUCUCAAAUUACCAUGUCUGAUCAUUUUUUUUAAUGAUGUUUCUUAUGCGUUUUAUUCAAUUGCACAAGUCAUGCAUGAAUGGUUUUCAACAGUUUUAGUUGAAAAUAUAGUAGUGGUUAUACCUAAAAAGUGACAUCAUCUUUUUUAUUCUUAAAAUUUGUUUAUCGGACUUCAGGGAACUGGUGGCAAAAGCAUAUAUGGCCGAACAUUUAAGGAUGAGAACUUCAAAUGUAAGUUAAAUUUAUUCAACUGUUUGUACUCAAAGUUAACCAAAACAAAAAAUUUUCUAAUCUAAGAAAAACUUUUGUAGUGACUCAUUUGGGACCUGGAAUUGUGAGUAUGGCAAAUGCAGGACCUGACACCAAUGGAAGCCAGUUCUUCAUUUGCACUGUCAAGGUAACUCAGCUUAAUCAUUGAAACUGAUUCCAGCAUCUGGUUCUGGCCUUACGAAACUGUUGAUGCAUUUUAUUUUAUCAUAGCAAUCUAGUUUAUAAGUUGAAUUUAGUUUACAGUUAAGGUCUCAAAUUGUGCACAAAGUUGUUGCUUUUUCAACAGGACAUGAUCCAACAGGACUUUAAAGUUUUAAAAUCCUCCUCUAUCUUCACAUUCAUCAAAGUCUAAAACGUUUCACUCUUUAAAAGACCAUUUGGUCUAUUGUUGAUGAUUCUUUUUUAUUUGGUGAACAAAUUCCAGCUUUAUACCUAUUUACACACUUUGCUAGGUAAUAUAUUCAUGAUCUUCGUUUUCUUUUCCCCUUAAUUUGAUGUUUGUCACUGCUGCCAUAACUGUUGUUGUUUGGGGUGGACAAUUAGUCACCUCGUGAACCAACCAAACCCAUCUGUCCAUAUAUGUGGUCCUUCAACUAUACAAGGGAAACACCAUAGCAAAAUUCAUGGUUAGGUCAUUGGAUAGCUGUCGGGCGGUCUACUGAAAGAAAGUAAAUAUUGAGAUUUUGAUUAUUAUCUGCAGUUAAUAAAGGUUUUCAGGCACUGAUCUGGAUAGUUAAGUUCAAAAAUAUCAUCCACGCUAAAAAAAAAAGAGAAAAGAUUAUCUAAGUCAAAGCAAUAAUCUUUUCUGCUUUGUUCCUCCUACCUGUGCUUGUUCCAUUAGAAGUGAGACAGCAUAUUUCUGAUUCUAAUGCAAAUAAAUCUGAGUAUGACCUCUGUAAUUACUGAUUUCUGUGCAGACACCAUGGUUGGACAAGCGGCACGUUGUGUUUGGUCAAGUUCUGGAGGGAAUGGAAGUGGUAAGGCAAAUCGAGUCACAGGAGACUGACCGUGGUGAUCGCCCUAAAAAGAAUGUCGUCAUUAGUGACUGCGGCGAGCUUCCAUCGGUCUGAGUGAAAGAAUACCGUUUUAUCAUGCACUGGGCAGGAUCAUAUCUGCUUUUCGUAGUUCUAUUAUUUUAGAUCUUUUGAACUAGUAUCUGGUAGAUGACUCGUGUUUCGGGCUUUUAUGAGCGCUAAUUAAUUGGAUGGUCUUCAGCCCUAUAUUGUUGGAGCAUCAAGGCAAAUGAAUGUGAUGACUGUCGCAUCUUUCUGAAUUGUGGCAGAAGCUUCAUCGAAUAGAUUUCGUUGCGAGGUAUUCCAUUUCUUUGUUUCUGUUAAGGGGAAGACUUUUUUGACUGCUCUUGUUGAUUCUGUUACGAGUCUUCCAUGAAUGGAUGCGUGGAUAUUGCCUCCAUGUUGUUGGGCAGGACAGUCGGAUGAGACCCAUUUGGGAAGAGGGUAGGAGGUCGAGAGAGUAGAGAGGGAGGCCAAACCCAGUUUUGCCUGUGACUUUGGAAGUAUACGAGGCAAAACAAACAGCGUCACAUUGUGACACGUAGUCGCAUGGAUUUUUGGGAAGUGAGAAGUAGAUACAUGAUGCAUGCACCACAUAGAAACAUAGGAGAUGCGUAUAUGAUGACACAGUGAUUGACUGAAGGAAUUCGAGAGGAGUUUAGGAGUAGUCUGGAAUUUGGAAUGAAAGCAUGUCUAGAGAUUAUUUUCUAACUAUUGAGUAGCAUAAAAUAUUCUUUCUAGAUGCCAUACUCACAAGGCAUGAUAUAUCCAAUCGACACAUUACCUUUGUAAACGCAAACUAAACUUCCUCAAAGUGAUCAGCACUAAAGAAAGAAGAAAAUAAACAUGAUAGGAAUGUUCAGCCCAGCUGGAUCAAUGGCCUUCUCAUCUAUAAAUCACAAGAAAUCUCACACUAGAGGAAGAAACCCAACUACAACGCUUAAAGAUUCUAACCAACCUAUAAAACACAGUUCCCUUGUGCUGUCAAAAUUGCAGAUUACCAACAUAUUUUUCUCUCUCUCUCUAACACACACGCAGACAUUCCUCACUAUUCAUGAGAAUUCUCGCCAAAUAUUAUUGCACUACUGUGAAUCUCUAAAUUAUUUAUUGGGAGGUUCUGCUCAAAUGACAGCAAAAGCAAUUUACGCAUCUGAAGCAGUGUCUCCCCAACGGACGUUGUAAUUCGCGGCAAGGUAGUGUGCUCCUGCUGGCCCGCAACUCCCGUAAGGGUACAAUUCGGGGGCUAUCUUCUUCUCCUCCAACUCUUUGAGCAGCGGCGUAAACAGCUCCCAAGCAGCAUCCAGUUCAUCGGAACGAAUGAACAGCCUUCGUUCACCCUCAAUGGCAUCAAGAAGCAGCCUCUCAUAUGCAUCUGGUAUCUCUUUCGAGUAUCUACCAAAAGCCAAAAGAGUUUCAGAUGAUGGGUAAUGACACGGCUCUGAACUACCAACUUUAUACAACAAGCAAGUAAAUAUGACAUUAUUCUUGAUGAUGAUGAUGACAGUUAAUAACCAUAACAAUUGUGUCAGAGCAUUUCUCUUAGCCCAGUCUACUAUUAAGCAUGUACUAGUCAUCAUAGAAUCUCAUGUGGAGCAUGUAAGGGCCAUGAUCUGGAGCAUUUUCACACUAGCUUAUCAAGCAUGGAUGGAUGUCAUUGGUUUAAAAAGGAUGAUUUCGACCAAGGUUCCAACGUCACCGGAAUAGCUAUGACAAUCUAGGGAUUGUCAUUUGUCAUCAGAUAUUAUGCAUUCCAGGGAUUGGCAUAAUCUUUCCUUAUAAGAAAAACAAAAACUUGUACCUUGAAGCAUAAAGAAGAUUCAAGUUACUGCGGUCCAAUCUCAUCCCCAACCCAGGAAUCUUGUUAUUGAUCUUUAAGUAAAUAGCUUCAUCGGGUUGUACCCUGAUGACGAGCUCGUUUGUAGCUCGAUCAAGAUCAGUUCCAAAGCUCCUCUUAUAUAGAUUACCAGGGACAUGGCGAAACUGAACUCUAAUCUCUGUUCUGCAAAUGGAAAUUUCCAACACAACAUUAAUUAAAGAUGUUGAAUUUCAAUUGAAACUUACAAAAAUCACAAAAGAAAUGCAUAAAUACUCAUUUACAACCUACCGUCGAGUUUCCAGUGCUUUCCCAGCCUUCAUGAGGAAUGGAACUCCAUCCCAUCUUGCAUUAUCUAUGAAAAGGGCAGCUGCAGCGAAUGUUGGAGUAAGGCUGCCUUUGGGUACAGUCUUAUCGUCUGUGUAUCCGGGGUAUGCAACUCCACCCUUCGUGUGGCUCCUAUACUGACCUAUCACCACAUUUUCCAAUUGCAAUGGCUUCAUGGAACGGAGGACUUUCACCUGAAGUGAAGGAGAAAUUUAUCUAAGAGACAGAAACCAAUAAUAUUGAGUUUCAUCCAAUAAAAGAACAAUGCACGAGUUAUGAGUCUGAAUCCAAUGGAUCACAUCUAGGACUAUAACUUAAUGGAAAAAAGGUCUCGUCAUAUUUCCUUGUACAAACCUUUUCGUUCCUGAUAUCUUCUGCAUCUAAACUGACAGGAGUUUCCAUUGCAAAUAAGGCUAAAAUUUGGAGCAGAUGAUUCUGCAUGAUAUCUCUAAUAAUACCAUAGUUAUCAAAGUACCUGCACAGUACAAGACACAGGUUACUGGAAAGCUCAUCAAUAGAUGACUAACUUCAAUGGAUAAUAACAUCAUCUAAACCUUACCCUCCCCGUCCUUCUGUACCGAAGUCUUCAGAGAAAAUCAGCUGCACAUUCCUAAUAUAUUGCCUAGACCACAACGGUUCAAAUACAAGAUUCGAGAAACGAAGAAUGGACAGAUUUUCGACAAGUUCCUUUCCCAAAUAGUGGUCUAUUCUGUAGAAUGUUAAACAAUCAUUGUAAGGAAGAUGUUUUCAUGGGAUAUCGAACAUGAAUAUCUUCAUGUAGGAUGUCAUGUCACCUGAAAAUUUGAUCUUCAUCAAGGUAUUGUUUCAGGCCUCUUGUCAAAGCAGCAGAAGAUUCAGAAUCCCGACCGAAUGGUUUUUCAACUAUCACCCUGGUCCAGCCAUUCUUAGAAGAAGCUGACUUGCUUGCAGAUUUUACAACAUCUAUAAAUAUGUUUGGUGGAAUUGACAAAUAAAAUAGCCGGUUUGAUAAUCUCCCACCCUGUAAGCCCAAUUGAAAAAUCCAGGUAUUUACAGUUUAAUAAAUGUUUUCUUUAAUUAUGAAAUAUAUUUUUUGCAGAGGAGAAGCUUAACCACAUUAUAUAUUUGACGAUCCAAACAUAUUCAAGCUAUGCUAAUCGUCAUCAUCAUGACCUUCAUCAAAGCAACAAUGUCAUUUCUUAUUCAAGGUUCACAUAAAUGUCUUGCAAGUUAAAAAAGGUUAACAUAAAAGUCAUUUCACAUAGGUUAAAGACUUGAUUCAAAAUUAUUUUGCACUAGCUGCACUUAAGUGAAAGAAGAGGAUCUCAAAUUCAACUAAAGUAAAAGAAGUCAUUUGUCACAUGAAAUUGAAAUAUCAUCAGGCUACCUGAAAUAUCAUUUUAAUAAAAAAAUGUCAAAUCCCGAGAGACUCUCGAGGUUUUUGUCUGUCAAAACAAAAAACUCAAGCUUCACCACCAUAUAUGAUCCCUAGUUAGAAGCCUCAGUUAUAUCACUAGCAAACUUAAGACAAAAAAUGCUUCAGUUUUUUUGCAAAUCAAAACAAUUCCCCACGAACUAGCAUCAUCAGAUUUCUUGUCCAAAGAACUAAAAAUUUUGAGUUCCUAUAAUUUUACAUAAUUAUCUGGCAUGAGACUCAAAGAUUUACGUAGCUUUCAAAGGUGACAAAGCUUGGAAGACAAGCAAAAGUCCGCAGAACACUUCUGUGACAUAGCUGCCAUGUUUUUUUUUUCUUUUCCUUUUGUGUCUUCUUUUCUGUGUCUUUGUCCUUUUAUUAUUAUUUUUUGUUCUUUUCCUAACUUCUUGACUUUGCAUCUCUUCUUAUCCUUCAGUCUGUUUGAGGAAUCUUCCCAUUUUCCCUCAAAGAUGAAAAAAAAAAAAAAAGAUCACAGAGAAGCACCAUUGAACUACAACAUAACAAUAAUUACAUUAUGUAAAACAAGACAUGAUUAUUGUUGGAAAAGGAGGCUGGAGCUCCCAAUUUUGAGCUUGUAAAGUUGUAAAGACUUCCUCAUCUCAUAGAUACAAAUAUUACCUCAUGUUCUUUGAGUUCCUUGUCAAGAUCUGCAAAGUUUUCCUCGGAUUCAUAUUGACCUGAAUGAUAGAAACAUCUCUGUAGAAACUGUUCCAUCUUCUCAUUACAAUUCUCCCUGGGAAAAAUCAGCAGAAACAUUUAGCAUCAGCAGAGAUCAAAAUAAAUGGUCCUCAAAUCAAUUAUCUUGAAGGAAACAAAAGCAGAACUGUAUGACAAAAAAAACUAGCAUAACCUAAUUCAGUAUUAAUACAAAAAACCAUUAAUCACCUUUUAUCAAUUCUGCACGUUAAUGUUUUGCUAACCAUAGUUCUCAGUUCAGCAUCAGUCAUCUUACUUCGAGCAUAACCGAAUAUAGUGAAAUGCUGCAUUGAGAACAUAAUUACACACCUUAACACGAGAGUAAUCUAUAAAGGAAUGACUUGCACUACAAUUAUACGAACCGGACCUUUGGAAGGCAAUCUUCAUAAUAAAGUGCGAAAAGAGCAGGAAAUAUCUUCUUUUUGGCAAGGUCCCCAGAGGCUCCAACGACAGUGAUACUAACUGUAGGCUCCCUUUCACUUGAAUUGGGACCAAUCACAUCUCUGUAUUCCUCUGAAGAUAAACCAAGCAAGCCACCAAUUUCCACAUUCUUGGAAGGAGCUUCUUUUGGACUGGAUGCAGCCACAGUGCCAACUGCCGUGCAAUAAGGAGAACGAACCAGGGGAAAAGGUCAACACCAGAGGCAUGAAAUCAAGAACCAAAGAUCGACAGUAGAUGCAUCAACAACCAAAAUUCACUAAAGAAGAUUCGAAAAAAACAAAUCAGCCAUCCCAAAUAUAAGUCAAGCGAGGCGGAUCGAACGAGGUGAGGGUCAGAGCAAAGAAAAGGGACCGGACCUUCUUGCUUGCAGGCAACGCCCAAGUUCCAAUUUUUCGACGACGGUACCGCGACACUUCCCGCAAGAACGGUUCUAGGAAAGGGCCGUAGGAGGGUCGACCAUCUCGGAGGGGAGUGAUCGGGUGCCAGACGCGCGGCGGCGGAGGAAGAGGGGCAUUUGGCGACGGAAAGUGCCAUCUCUCCUCCUCCGGCAAAGAGAGACAGAGCAAGAGAGAGAGAUGAAUCGAGGGUUUUCCUCGGAAGAGAGACAGCAGACGAGAGAGGAUGUGGCAUUUGAAGGGCGGGGGACGGCAUCGGAAGCAGCGGAGAGGGUGGGUUCGUCUCGGUGGGGCCCAGAUCCUCUCCAUUACUUUUCCAGACGCACUCCAGUUCCGAUCGGACCGUCCAUAUUCAAAACCGGUGUCAUCAUCAUCGGGUCCCAUGUAAACCAACGGUCCUGAUCUAUCUACUGGUUCGCCGAUUAGGCCCGAAUCACCGAAGGCGACACCCCCCACCCUUGGAAGCAUCGAAGGGUUGUUUUCUCGGAAGAAGCCAUCCAUCACAGAGGACAAACUUGGAGAGCGGCAAGGGGCAGGUAUUGUUUUGGGUUGACGGAGCGAGUGUCUGCAGCUUUCCUUGGGAUUAAAUUAGGGUUAGGGUUUCCUAACUUAAUCGUCCAAUUGCUCGAUCGAACGAUCAAUUUGGUCGGUGUUUUAGGGUUAUGCUGUCCAAAGGAGAAGACGUUAUUAUUAGCAUCGACAAUUUAUCCGAAUUAUUAUAUUAUUGUAUCAUCACAUGAUGAUAAUAAAAGGGAAGAAAACUAAAUGGACACGCAUUUGUGCUCUUGACUUGCUUACACGCCUCCCUCGCCUCAAAAUCACGUCUCCUAAUGGGCGGGCCCACAUGACUCAAUCAAUGCGUCCAAUGGGCUCGGGCUCGGGCUCGACGUUGGAGACUAAAUCUAACUCCGAUCGGAUUCAUUGAUCGAUACUAUCAACAUUCAAAUUGAGAUACUGUAUAACAGUGAUUGAUAUCUACGGGUAGAAACCGCACACAAGAAGAAAGUAGCUCAGUUCAGCUUCGAUCGGAUUAGGGAUUCUUUUGUUGAACUCAGUUGGAAGCAUGAGAACACUGUGUUUUCCUCUCUCUCUCUCUCUCUCUAUUCUUUUGUUGAACUCAGUUGGAAGCAUGAGAACACUGUGUUUUCCUCUGUCUCUCUCUCUCUAUUCUUUUGUUGAACUCAGUUGGAAGCAUGAGAACACUGUGUUUUCCUCUGUGUUGGAAGCAUGAGAACACUCUCUCUCUCUCUCUCUCUCUCUCUCUCUCUCUACCACUGUUCACUGACAACGCAUGAGCGUAUUGGCUACGAGCCUCCUCUGCAUGGUAACCUUGGCAAUCAAGUCCUCGACUCUUCGGUUGAGCUCCUCUGUAGGCAUACCUUCUUCCUCCUCCUCCUCUUUGUCACGGUGGCUUCCUUCUCCUUCACUCCAGCUGCGGGACUUGGCUUCGCAUCAUGUGGUCGUCGUAAAUGUCGGGCUGUGCAGAAGACUCGAAGAGCCUCGACUCCCCGACGAGGAAGAUGAUGAUGACGUUGGAGACGACGAAUAUGAACUUGAGACUAGGGUGCCCAUGUGUGGAAGACAGACGAAGAAGAAGAACCUGAGAGAGGAGAAAAUGGUGGGGAGCCAGUGGGGACUCGACAUGAACAGACCAACCAGCACAACACGUAGCAUCGGCAUGCAGUGGUUCCUGCUACAUCUGCCCAUAUAACUCUAUCCAUGGCUGCAAGAAAGAAGGAAGAAGAUGAACUGGAUAUAGGGCAAUGCAAGACCAAGGUUAUAAAGGAAAGGGAAGGGGAGGUAAAUUCCAAUGGUGGGAUUCUCACAUCCCAGCAUCUCCUGCUCAUAUUAUUAGAUCUCUUCAGAGAAGCCAUGGAUUGGUGUCUGCUUGGAGCCCCACUCAUUCUCCUGUUCUAAGAAAUGGAACAGCUUAAAGCAUGAACAGCCUCCAAAAUGGCCUUCAGAGUCAUCAUGGCUACAUGGUAUAAGAAUGGAAGCUUUGAAGUAUAUGUCAACUCAAACCUUCUUUUCCUUGCGAAAAAGAUGGGGGAAAUGCAGAGUUCUGAUAGAGACACACAAAGCUUUUGGUUUGGGUUGUUCAUAGCCUUUGCAUGUCCGAAGCUACAGCUGCCGCGUGUGUGGAUCACAAGAGAGAGAGAGAGAGAGAGCUUAAGAGUGUAUCAAUCAAUUGAUUUAAUCUCGCUCUCAUAAUUACUUGAUCUGAAUAUAGUUCAUGAAGAAGGUAGCCUCAUCUCCUAUCCAAUUUACUUUGACGCAAUUGCACCAUUUAAUAUGUCGAUUGACCUACUCAAUCAUAAAAUUAAGUGCAAAUAUAAUCAAGAUCGAAGACGUUCGAUCCAUCUUCAAAUAUCCAUAGUUUCAACAUAAUAUCUCUCAUCCAUCUUCGGGUCGGGGUAUUAAAAAUGGUAUCUAGAAAUUUCUCACAAAUGCAUGAAGAGGAACUCAGUGACAGCAUUUGGUGGUGAAUUUCCAGUCUUUGAUUGAUUUCUAGUUGUUGUCAGUGAGUCGAGUAGAACAAAGAUUAAUAAACAUGACAAUACUCUUUAACUAAAUAUUCAAUUUGGAGAGAGAGAAAACAAGAUUGUAUUUGAUUGGAAUGCAUUCGAAGCUGGUCACUCAAGACAUACAACAUUACAUGGUGACACCAUGAGUUGCCUGGAACACUUUGUUAUAAUACCCAGAAGAGCAUGGGUUCACACCAACAUCCAUUUCCUUCUAAAUCAGGCCGCAUACUUUUUUCGAUGUGAGAAAACUUAUUCAUCACAGUUCAAUACUGGUGGAAUAACCAAUCACAUUGUCCAAUCUGAUGCUAAGAACACUAGAGUAGCAAAAGCCACAUCGUUCAUCGUGGCCACAGUUCAAUACUGUGUUUCUUUGACUAAAUGGUUCAUCUCAGCAUAUAGAGAGAUUCUCCGCAUGAGACUUACAUCGUGUUCGCUCUUUUAUCACUUCCAUGAAAUCAUAGGUGGUGCUCACAAAACUAAGCAAGAAGCCAAAACAUUGCACUCAGGUUAUGAUAGCAUUAUCCCUUGGCUUCUGAUUGAGAGGUUUGCUUCCUGUUAUGAUGUAUCGACCGAGGGACAAAAGCAAAGCCACGAGCAUUACGAUGACCAAAGCUUAUGCUCGAAGGAGAAGAAUCCGACGUGCUCAGCUUUGAUACAGCAGAAACAAGAUCAUCCAUCCUCUCCUCAACUUCCAUUUCUGUUUCCUUCCCCUCCUUGAGACUAGCCUUUUUUGGUCUAUACUUCUGGUAAAUUUGCUUCGAACUUUUCCUAUCAACAUCCAUAUCAGUAUUGUUCGAUGCCUCCUUUGGAUAGCUAGCUUGCCUUCGUAGAUGUUUUUGGCGUUGGUGCUUGGAAGGAUGUGCCCUUUUGUAGAAUUCAAAUGUGGUAGGAAACUUGUGUUUGUCAACAAGGUGCUGCUGUCGACUCUUAUAACUCUUCAACUUGACUCCACAGCCUUCGACCAAACAUUCAUACUGAUUCAUACAUGAUACUUUUACUUCAAAAAAUCAUACAAAUGAGAAACAUAAUUAUUUACAUAUCAAUCAUAAUAUUUUAUGAUCCAUAAGUCUUAAGUUCGAGAAAUAUAACUGCAGUUAGUAGCUUCAAAAUGACUAAGCAAUAACAAGAAGGUAUAAAUGAAAACCAUAAACUUGCAAGUUAUUUUUCUGAUGAGAUAGCAUUAGGUCCUUCAGGAAGGAGAACGAAAGCUACCAAAUAGGACACAUUGCAUGUUGCAGCAAAAUACCAAUGUGACAAUAUCAGAAACCAAAAGAAGUCUUCCCCCCUCAGGGCCAACAGGACAAGGCAUCACAACUUGCUCGACAGGAGAAAGGAAUCUCCUGUUCCUGAUGAUUGAAAAUUCAUAUAUGUGAUGUCUUUACUGACAUUCAACUAACCUCAACUUACUAUCAGGUGAUUGAGAAAACUCCCAUUGGAUAUAAGAAAGGCAACUUCUGUUCUACUCUUUCCAAUAAACCAGAAUAGCAUAGCACAUUUAUUUAUAAACCGCAGCGCACAACAUCAAGCCAAAACCGGUCUAUAAACGAAAUCCUGUCUUGUUGCCACUUUCCCCUUCUUUUAGAUAAUUCAACUAUUUUUGGUAUUGUUUCUAACAGCUAUUUUAGAAGUUGAAUUAGACUGUUAAUGAGUCUAUUCUGAGUGAUGAUUUCUGUCUAACAAAUGGAAAAUCCAUAUAGGUUCGAUUCAAAUUGAUUUAGGCCCCCUUCCUGCUAAAUUCUUCUUAGUACUUGUGCUCUUUAGGUGCAAUGCAUCGAAAACAAUGUUUCCUAUUCAAAGAUAAUUAUAUUAACUACAACACAAGGAAGCUAAAGGCAGGAUUAGAUAGACAAAUAGGUAAAGUUUCAGGGUUGUUAAGUCUGUUUUUGGGGUACACAUUGUUAAUAUCAGACUAUAGGGACCUCAGCUUUAAGAAAAAAGUAUGUUUAUAUUCAAAACUGAAAAAUAGUCCUCUUAUCUCAACUAUUUUUCUACAGCAAAAAUGUUUUUCCCUUCCCCUCCCUGAUUUGCUCUGUCCCUUAUCUAAUAGCAAACAUAUUACUCUUUGCUAUUUCAAGGGAACCUCAGGUUCAGUUGUCAACUGUAAGCUAACGAUAACUUGUGAUCAAAUCAUGCAAUUAUCAGUAAGCAUUUACACUUUUCCAACCAUCUAGUCAAAGAACCUUUAUAGAGUUCUUAACAACCAUCACAAGUAACCCAACAGAGUAAAGCAUUCAUCCCAUUCACAUACUUCACUUAAAUUAGAUUGGCAAGGGUCAAACUUUGCUAAGAAGCAAGAACCUGAUUAUGAGAGCUUCUCAGAUUAAGAAUGCACAAUUCAACUAUUAAAUAACUUGAAAUUAAGUAAAAAAUUUAACAUAAUUAGUCCCUCUUCAUUUUUAAAUUUUGAACUUUCAUUUUAAGAGCAAUGCUUAGGUUUUCAAAUUCUGAAAUUAGAUCCUGUGAGCUCACUGUUCUUCCUUUUUUUGUCAACAAUGUUUUCGUUAUGGUCUUGUUGUUGUGUAAGAACUAUUUACAAAAUCUAUUCUUUCCUAGAAAAGCAGUGCACUAUUUACAAAAUCUAUUCUUUCUUUUCUUCCAGUGCUACACAUGACGGUAGGAACUUUUUGCUGUACUAAAGAUAACAGAAAGGGAAAUACCAUCAGAAAACCGCGUGCAACUUUGGCCUGAAAGAAUGAAUCAUGGGCUUCAGAGAUAUGUAUACUAAGUAAACGUGAUGUUGGGAAAACUCUCGAACACACCGAACAUGAAGCAGUGUGACGAGCAUGGUAGUGAUCUUCAAAGUCCUCCAAACAAUCUAAUCGAGCAGCACAACCAACAAUAGGGCAAAAAACAGGUCUGCAAUCAAUAAGAAGUUAACCCACAAUACAUUGAUUAAUCGAAACGAGUAAAACUUUUCAAGUUUCAGAAAAAGUAAAUAACACUUUCUCUACUGAAGAUAUGAAUCCUGAUGCAGAAGUGCAAAACAUUGCAGUUUUACUUCUGAUCUACAAACUUAGAUAGGAGUUUGCUCAACAUUAGCAUGGUGACUGUGAAGUAUUUACUUGUGAAGACAAUUACUGAGUUCCAUACCAUUUCCACUAAUAUGGGAUUGAUUAUAUAAAAGACCCAAGAUCCAGAACAAAGAUUUAUAGUUUGAUGUCACGACAACAAGAUAGUGAUGUGACAACAAGUUGGUACUACCUCAGGGCCGGGCAGAUGGUGGAUAAGCAUUACUUUGGCAUGGUAUGAACUAUGAAGUCCCAAGCUCGACAACAACAGAAAAAUAUGGUGGUGGACAGACUGACAUGAGAGGUACAAGCAAUCCAUGAUUAGUAAUAUCUUAUGGAAAUUUAGUAGGAUCAAUUGUGAUAUGUAAAAUUAUCAUCAGCCUCAACAAAGUUGGUUUCAAAAUCCUAUCCAAAUGGAAGUUGCUUGUUAAUCCAGGACAAGUUGAUGGAUAAAAAAAGGUUUGAAAAUUGACAUUUAAGCUCAUGUAACUACAGAGGCACCCUCCAAAGUUCCAUUUGAAACCUACAUAAAAUUAUCGGGCAAAGGGCAGAAUGUACCAUGCCAAAAGUUAUUGGUGCAUGCCAUGUGGACCUAUUCUGAAAUGGUAACUGUUUUCGGCCUGUGUCAUGAAAUACACAACAACAAUAACAAUAACAACAAGAAACCGUACAGGAGUGGAAAAUCACUAAGGUACAUCUCAUAGUAUCUGAUUGGAUAAAUCAGAUAAUUAAAGCAAUGUAUCCAUAUCAAAGUAAGGCAGCAAGACAAAAAAUUUAAUGGUUCAAAUAAGAUUGACCGGCAGGAACACGACAAACACCAUUGAGAACAAUAUAUACUACUAGUACUACUACUAGGUUCAGUAAAGAAAUCUGCGAACCUCAAAAAUAAGAUACUAGCAAAGAGUCACAGUAAAAAAUAUAAACAACUUAUCAUUAAAUUCCAAGACUUGAUUACAAUGGCCAAAUUAUGCCAAGAAAAUUUCAAAAUAUUCAUAAACAAUGUAGAAGUCUUGUGAGAAAAAAGUGCAUACUCAGUGUUUGCAACUUCCAUUUUCUGGAGCUGAUAUCUUUCAUCUUCAGUUAGAUCCAAUGCUACCUAAAAGAAUUAUGAAGAGACACACAAAGAAAGAAAAACAUGUUACAUGUAAAAGUUAGAUUGCGCUAGUGGCAUCUUAAAUCAUGGAUGAAAUCAAGAAAAAUAUGCACACAUGCUAUUGACUAACAAAAUGUAUGCAUAAAAAUAAUCAAAACAAGUACUGGAAAGAAGCUAAAUAGUCAUCAUCUCCUAGCCUUUUCCCAUCUAUGUAAAAUCAAAUAAUGCAAAUUACAUGGAGGACAUUGAAAAAUUAUUCUCCAAUCCUUACCAACCAGAUAUGAACCUUCUAAGGCUUAUUUUGAAUUGGUGAAGAUAAGCAAAGGCAGUCAAAGGGAAAAUAAGGAGUGGAAAGAUCUGCUCCAUGAUUGUGCUUAGACUCAUAAGCCUAGUCUCUGAAGACAGCAAAUCUUAUAGUGGAAAAUCCUAAGUGAUUACUGAACAACACAUUAUCUACUUACACUCAGUUGACAAUGGAUAUUACUAAAGGUAAAAGUUUGGGCAUCUGGAAAAAGUUAUUUUUUACCUUGUUAAAUAUAAUAAAUGAAGAGUUGAAGCCCAAUUUUACUAUCAACAGACGAACAAGGCUGUCAAAUACUCAUCUCAUUCGUGUAUUUGCCUGAACGAGAUAGUCAUGCUACCUGGAGAGUUCCUAAUACACUGAAGCAAAUCAUCUAGGAAGAUCUAUUCUUCAGUUGUGAUGCAAAUAGUAUCGGCUUUUCAAAGAGUUUGUACGGAUUUAUCUCCCUUUGUUUACACUUUAGCCCCUGUUCUUCUUGUGAACGGUUGAUCUCCGCUAUAAACACACGGGAUUAUUUGAUCCCUACAAUUCUGUAGAGAUUUUCCCCCAAAUUAUAACCUGAAUCGAAUCGGUAUUCAGAUACAAUGAAUCGGUCAGAUCCCGACCUUCACAAACCCUAAGAUUAAAACUUUGCCACGAAUCAACGAAAAAUGUGCAAACAACAAACAGACAUCGUGAGGGCUUCUGCAUAAGAAAUAAGCGUUAAAGAAAGCAAGGAGGACCGGGUAGAGCAGACAAAGAGAAGGAGAGGGCUUACUUGUUUGGCGAGGAGCUCGCGUUCGAUAUUCCCGGCGGAGAAGAAGGGGUCAUCGGGCAUAAGCCUUCGCCGUGAUGCGAUCCACCACCGGGACCCCAGCCCUAAUUCCUCUCCGCCGCUUGAUUCCAUCGCCAGCGACUGCAGAAGGGUUUCGAGCUUCGAAUUCGAACGGGCAGUGCGCGUCGAAGUCGGCCGUUCCGUCGCACGAGAACGAGAUCGUUAUAUAUAUGCGCCUCCGAUUCCCAACGCUUACAUGUCCGUUACAAAAUAAUAAUAAUACGUAAAAUAAAAGAUGGUUUUCUUAAAAAAUACUAUGAUAUUUUAUAAUAUAUAUAUAUAUCCCUUAUUUUCUUUUUUAAAAAAUAAUAUUUUUAAUUUAAAAUAUUUAAAUUAUCCCUCAAAUUUUUUUUGUUUAUUAGAGUAUUUUGACUACCAUAAUAAAAAUAUUAUAAAUAAUUUAAGUGGGGACUUCUAACCUCAAUAAAACAAACUAUAAACUUAAAAAUAUGCCAUUAUAAUAGUUUAUGAGUAAUUACAAUUAAAAAUACAUAAUUUGAUAUUACUUAUAAUUUUUUUAAAAUAAUAUUUUAUUAGAAAAACCUGAGACAAACAAAAGCACUGCAACAUUCGAAUGCUGAUUAAAAACAAUAUUGACAAAAAAAACUUUUAAGAGAUAUUUUAGGUAUUUUAUUAAAUUAGGAUUACUGUUUAGGAAAUAUCUUCUAUAAAAUAAUUAAAUAUAAAUAUUCAUAUAAAAAAAUAUAAAAUAUAUUUGUUAGAGCAAAUGACGAAUAAAGAGAUUUCCUUAUAUAGUUAAAAAAUCUUAUCUACUAUCAAAUCCUCUAAUCUAAUCUGCUAAUCAUCAACACCUCACACUAACCCAUCAACUCUACUUUACCACCUUGGCUCCGCCUGACCAACAAAAAAAACCUUGUUAAUCCACAUAAUAGGGUUGUAUGGCUAAUGAGCUGACUCCAUAUCAUCAACACCAUUGGUUUCACAUCGAAGAGAUAUGGAUUUUAUACACGGUGGCCAUGUCAUUUUUCUAUAUUCAACACAGGUUUAUUGCAAUUACAAUCAAACUUUAUGCCCACAUUAUUAUAUGAAUUGCACUAUAAAUAAGAAUGCAUAGGUAUAACUAAAGAGAACAAUUUAUGUUUGUGUAAAAUUUUAGAAGAAUAUUAUCGAUAUAGUAUUACAAGAUUUUGAAUACUAUUUGGAGGAGUUUGCUUUCAGACCGGCUCAAUAAAAGAAUCAAGUUGAAUUUAAAUUAAUUUUCAACUUGGAUAAUUAAAAUUUAUUAUGAUAAUAUCAAAACAAAAAUAUGAUUAAAAAAAAUUAUUCAAAAAGGUUGUGCCGACAAAUAUGAUUGAAUGUGUGGUAAAGAGGGUACCAGUGCAAUAAAUAAAUGUCUUGGAAAGUUCAAAAGCAAACGCAAUCCAUUGUAAACAUCCUAAGAAGUUACUCAUCAUAUGAUAUGAUACCUCACAAACCAUCAAGUGAUGGAAAGGAGGAGCAUGGUGCAUGCAUGACUCUUAAUUAAAUGAUGACCUUUCAAUAUUUCAAGCUAGAUUUCGUUUUUUAAGCAAAAUAAAAAAAAUUGUUUUGAGUCCUCCAACGUUUUUAUAGUUAGAAAGGUUUUAAGAUAUAAUUUUGAAUUCCAUAAUAAGUAAAUUUUAGAUAGGGUUAAAGGUGGACUUUAGCUCUAUCAUUUUUGGUAAUGCACUAUUUAAGUUUUUAUAAUUUACUUGUGUUUAAAAUAAUUUUUAUAUUUUUUAAAACAUAACAUAUAAGUCUAAAUUAACGUACGUUAGAGUUUGCUUACAUAAUAAACUCAUAAUAAACUAUUAAUAUAAUGACAUAUAUAAUUUAAGUAAAAAAAUAGAGUCCAUUUUAACCCUUGUGGUUUUUGUCAUAAACCGUUUAGGCUCUCAUAUUUUAGUUUGUGUAUAAAAUAACUUCUACAUUUUUAAAAAUAUAACAUAUAAGUCCCUUAUGUUAAAUUUGAGUUGACAUAUGUUAGAGUCUGAGUUCACAUGUUGACUCACAAUAAAUCAUUAAUAUAAUAACAUAUGUAAUUUAAGUUAAAAAAAUAUUUAUCUUAUCGAGGAAGAAGAAGCGAUGGAGGUUACAAUGACAGAUAAGGCAGAGAGUCAAAAGUAAGAGAGGCCGAAGGCGAAGAUAAGAGAGAGCUGAACCACCAUGUCGCGAUGGGUGCAAGCGUAGGAGAGUACGAAGUGAGAGACAACGGGGGACGAAGAUGCCCAAAAUGAGGAAGAGAGAUUAAGAGACCAUUGCAUUGCCAACGUUGGACUGGUCAAUGCAUAUCCACCUGAGGUAGGACCGGAAGCUCCUGAACUUAUCGUCAAUGCGGGAGAGGCCACGUGUGUACAACGCCCUGUUAGGCAACAACGACUCAUCUCACCAUUGAUGGUGAUCUCAAUUUUUUAAUUUAAAUUAUAUGUAUUAUUAUAUUAAUAGUUUCUUAUAAGUCAGUAUACCAUGCAAGCAAAGUCUAACGUCUGUUAAUGAGACUUAAUAGGAGGGGCUUAUAUAUAUAUUACUUAUAGGUGCCCUACAAGCUAAUCACAUGAAUGAUGACACUUGUGACACGUUGCGAUAAUAUCUUUACUUAUUAUUACUGUCAUUUUAUCACAUAUUAAUUGGAUGUAUAUUGUAAUGUCUUUAAAUCUGUGAAAUAAGAAUUGAAUCAUGAUAAGAUUAUGAUAAUAAGACUGAUUUAUCUUUAAACACAGACCCUAAGUUAUCAUAGUCAUAGGUUAUUUAAGAAGGACAACGAGAUAACCGGAUAGAGCGGUUCAUUGUAUACUCAUUUAUAUAAUGGAGGCGAUUGGUCUCAUAGUCGCUUGUGUAUAAACACUAGAUGUAUAGUGCAAGUGCUCAUUGGAAAAUGAGUUCACUGAUUGAUCCGCUUACAAAAUACUAUAUGGUUAAUGAUACCUGAUGUUAGACAAUGAUUCUGUAGUCUAAAUUGUGUAUCUAGUCCUUAAACUUAAGACACAAAAAAUGUCUUAUAUGAGUACUCUAUUCUUUGAUGUUGGAGUUAUAGGUUUGAAAGUUUCAGAUCUGGUAUAAUUGAUUCUCGAGAAUAACAACUAACUUUACAAAGACGAUUGAGUGUCAACAGAAGAUCAUCCACUCUCAGUAUCGCGAGAGGAAUAUCCCAUGCGUACUCAUUCAAACAAAAUCUCUAGCUAGGGUUGUUCGGAUUAGAAAAUCCGAUUAGAGCGAGACUCAAAUAAGAUUUCAUAUGGGCCUAACAUUACCAUGCCCAAUAUACAAUCUUUGAGAUAUUAGAUAAAUGAGGGGUUAUAGACACAUGAUAACUAACGAUAGAUAUGUUCAAUGGAGUAGAUCCCCUAUAUCAUUUGGGGACUAUGACAUAGUAGCUCAGUACGAAUAUAGUCGAUGAAUCGAGUGAAUUAUUAUGAAGAUAAUAAUUCACUAUAUCAAAAGAAGUUCUAAUAGGAUCGACUCACGGCCAACUCAGUAUCAGACCUAAAGAGUCACAUAUAUAUGGUAGAUAUUACAACGAGUAGAGGUAUAAAUAUGAUGAUUGGAUAAGUGGAUAAGAUCCAAUUUGAUGAUUGGAUAUAGGUCAAAUUAGAUGGUUGGAUAAGAUCUAAUUGAAUAAUCGAAUAUAGAUCUAAUGAGAUUCAUAGGCUAGAACUAUUGAUGGUCGUCGCCUUACGGUGUGCGUGGAGAGGGAGAUCCUAUAGCGAUAUGAGCAUUAUAUCCCUUGUGUGGAUCAUCGCUAAGAGGAGUACGCGAGUUCUCUUUCAUCUCUUUCAUCUAUUCCGUUGAAUCUGAAAAUUUCGAGGAUAUACGAUCUCCCCAAGUAACACUUCUCACACGAUACAUAUGAUUUUUUGAUUUUACAGUUUUCUCGUGCACCAAUCGUCACACAACGACCAAGUACUUAAAUUUGAAAAUUCUGAUUUUAUUUAUUGUUUUCCGUUGCGCUUGAGAUACUGACUUAUGAUUUCUUAGUAAUAUACUAUAUUUUUAAAAAUAUAUGUAUUAUUUUACACAUGAGCAAAACUAUAAAAGCUUAAGUGACCAAAAUCAUAUGAGCUAAAAUAGAUCUUUUUUAAAAUUUAAAUUAUAUAUAUCAUUGCAUUAAUAAUUUAUUAUGAGUUAACAUGACACCUGAGUAAUAUUUGUUAACUUAGAUUCAUGGGAGAGACUUAUAUACUAUAUUUUUAAAAAUAUAAGAGUUAUUUUAGACACGAAUAAAUCAUAAGGCCUCCUUAGGGUACUGAACCACCAGCUCCUCGUCGGUUGGGGUGGAACCUGAACCCAGGUGGGAGCCUCAGCACUCCAUGCCUCGCAACAGCACCCGGCUUCCUAUCCAUCUGCAACUCGAACCAGGAAACAGAGGAAAGAAACUACUGCACCCAGCAGCAACAACAACGACAGCGAGGUCUCUCUUUGUCGAGCUUAAGGUCGAUUCAUGCUUUUUCUUCGUCCGGUUAGCGGAAAGAAGGUGCAAGGAGUAAGUGGACAAGGAGGUGGAGAGGGCGAGAGCGUGGGUGGGGGUGGGGAUGUGGGUGAGGGAGUGGUGGUGGUGGUGGUGGUGGUGGUGGUGGGCUUU
rnacentral:lncRNA from 1 species